CAUUGAACCCCUCGAGAGUGCUUUGACGCAUGCAUGGACAAAGGAGAGACUUCAGCAUGGAGAACAACACGAAAAUGGGAAAUGAAUGAAAAAAAGCCUUCGUGUCUGCCUUAUGGCCCCGGGCGGGAUGGACAGAAUCUUACAUGGGAGGGAACGUUCUCUUCCUUCCUCUGAGCUAAAAGAAACUUCUGCAGAGCUCAAAAUGGUCCAAACACCUAAAUGUGAGACCUGAAACCAUAAAAAUCUCAGAAGAGGGCACAGACAGUAAUUUCUCCAGCAUUGGACAUGGCAACAUUUUUCUAGAUAUGUCUCUUCUGAGGCAAGGGAAAUAAAAGCAAAAAUAAGCCAUUGGGACUACA
rnacentral:lncRNA from 1 species